CUACGGGUGGCUCCAGUGAGGAAUAUUGCACAAUGGGGGGAACCCUGAUGCAGCAACGCCGCGUGGAGGAUGACGCAUUUCGGUGUGUAAACUCCUUUUAUAUGUCAAGAAAAUGACGGUAGCAUAUGAAUAAGCACCGGCUAACUCCGUGCCAGCAGCCGCGGUAAUGCGGAGGGUGCAAGCGUUACUCGGAAUCACUGGGCGUAAAGGACGCGUAGGCGGGUUGGAAAGUCAGGUGUGAAAUCCUACAGCUUAACUGUAGAACUGCACUUGAAACUUCUAAUCUAGAGUAUGGGAGGGGGAGAUGGAAUUAGUGGUGUAGGGGGAAAAUCCGUAGAUAUCACUAGGAAUACCUAAAGCGAAGGCGAUCUCCUGGAACAUUACUGACGCUAAGGCGUGAAAGCGUGGGGAGCAAACAGGAUUAGAUACCCGUGUAGUC
rnacentral:rRNA from 1 species